GAUGAAGAACGCAGCGAAAUGCGAUAAGUAAUGUGAAUUGCAGAAUUCAGUGAAUCAUCGAAUCUUUGAACGCACCUUGCACCCUUUGGUAUUCUGAAGGGUAUGCUCGUUUGAGUGUCAUUGUACUCUCACACUCCCGAUCUUGAGUUGGGAGCGGUGGACUUGGGUUUGCUACUUUACUGUAGCUCACCUCAAAUGUGUUAGUGCAGCUCUUGGUUGGACAUAGUACGGCGUGAUAAGUAUCUUCGCCGGUGCCUCGCAAAGAGGGUGGCCGAUCGGGAUGUUGUGCUCCAAACUGUCUUCGGACAAUCUCUGACAACUUGACCUCAAAUCGAGUAAGACUACCCGCUGAACUUAAGCAUAUCAAUAAGCGGAGGA
rnacentral:misc_RNA from 1 species